rnacentral:ncRNA from 1 species
UAUCGUUGGCCCGCGACUGGUGCUCGCGCGUUCGCACGAAACGCGCAGUUAAACGGGAAACAGGACGCGGCCUCUUCAAGACAUGAAUGGACCGCCCGCCUGUGCUGUCCCCGCAACGGUACGCGACCGGCGGCAUCAGCAUUCACGAUGCCGCGCAUGGCGCACAAGGCCACUGCCCGUUCACGGUGGGAAGGCUGCGCGAUGAAGGCCGCAAGCCCGGAUACCGGCCAGCGCAGGAGACGAAGCG